AGCACAACCCCUACCACUAGCACAACCCCUACCACAACCUCUACCCCAACCUCUACCACUACCACAACCCCUACCACUACCACCUCCACAAAUCCUACCACGUUAUGUUUUUGCACGUAUAAAAAUCUACCUUUCCCUACUGGUUCCUUGAAAUAUAAUGAGACUGACGGGGCAGGCUGGUGUUUCACCUCUUACUGUAACUCAAGUUGUGUUGUUGAGAGACAAGCCAGACCAUGUCCCUGUACGACCCCAGCUACAGUCAGCACUGUCUCAGCUAGUCAGCACUGUCUCAACUACAGUCAGCACUGUCUCAGCUAGUCAGCACUGUCUCAGCUAGUCAGCACUGUCUCAACUACAGUCAGCACUGUCUCAACUACAGUCAGCACUGUCUCAACUACAGUCAGCACUGUCUCAGCUAGUCAGCACUGUCUCAGCUAGUCAGCACUGUCUCAGCUACAGUCAGCACUGUCUCAGCUAGUCAGCACUGUCUCAGCUACAGUCAGCACUGUCUCAGCUACAGUCAGCACUGUCUCAGCUACAGUCAGCACUGUCUCAACUACAGUCAGCACUGUCUCAGCUACAGUCAGCACUGUCUCAACUACAGUCAGCACUGUCUCAGCUAGUCAGCACUGUCUCAACUACAGUCAGCACUGCCUCAACUACAGUCAGCACUGUCUCAGCUAGUCAGCACUGUCUCAACUACAGUCAGCACUGUCUCAACUACAGUCAGCGAUGUCUCAACAACAACAGAAGCUACACAUU